GUAAGGUGAUAUGAACCGUUAUAACCGGCGAUUUCCGAAUGGGGAAACCCAGUGUGAUUCGUCACACUAUCAUUAACUGAAUCCAUAGGUUAAUGAGGCGAACCGGGGGAACUGAAACAUCUAAGUACCCCGAGGAAAAGAAAUCAACCGAGAUUCCCCCAGUAGCGGCGAGCGAACGGGGAGCAGCCCAGAGCCUGAAUCAGUGUGUGUGUUAGUGGAAGCGUCUGGAAAGGCGUGCGAUACAGGGUGACAGCCCCGUACACAAAAAUGCACAUACUGUGAGCUCGAUGAGUAGGGCGGGACACGUGGUAUCCUGUCUGAAUAUGGGGGGACCAUCCUCCAAGGCUAAAUACUCCUGACUGACCGAUAGUGAACCAGUACCGUGAGGGAAAGGCGAAAAGAACCCCGGCGAGGGGAGUGAAAAAGAACCUGAAACCGUGUACGUACAAGCAGUGGGAGCACGCUUAGGCGUGUGACUGCGUACCUUUUGUAUAAUGGGUCAGCGACUUAUAUUCUGUAGCAAGGUUAACCGAAUAGGGGAGCCGAAGGGAAACCGAGUCUUAACUGGGCGUUAAGUUGCAGGGUAUAGACCCGAAACCCGGUGAUCUAGCCAUGGGCAGGUUGAAGGUUGGGUAACACUAACUGGAGGACCGAACCGACUAAUGUUGAAAAAUUAGCGGAUGACUUGUGGCUGGGGGUGAAAGGCCAAUCAAACCGGGAGAUAGCUGGUUCUCCCCGAAAGCUAUUUAGGUAGCGCCUCGUGAAUUCAUCUCCGGGGGUAGAGCACUGUUUCGGCAAGGGGGUCAUCCCGACUUACCAACCCGAUGCAAACUGCGAAUACCGGAGAAUGUUAUCACGGGAGACACACGGCGGGUGCUAACGUCCGUCGUGAAGAGGGAAACAACCCAGACCGCCAGCUAAGGUCCCAAAGUCAUGGUUAAGUGGGAAACGAUGUGGGAAGGCCCAGACAGCCAGGAUGUUGGCUUAGAAGCAGCCAUCAUUUAAAGAAAGCGUAAUAGCUCACUGGUCGAGUCGGCCUGCGCGGAAGAUGUAACGGGGCUAAACCAUGCACCGAAGCUGCGGCAGCGACGCUUAUGCGUUGUUGGGUAGGGGAGCGUUCUGUAAGCCUGUGAAGGUGUGCUGUGAGGUAUGCUGGAGGUAUCAGAAGUGCGAAUGCUGACAUAAGUAACGAUAAAGCGGGUGAAAAGCCCGCUCGCCGGAAGACCAAGGGUUCCUGUCCAACGUUAAUCGGGGCAGGGUGAGUCGACCCCUAAGGCGAGGCCGAAAGGCGUAGUCGAUGGGAAACAGGUUAAUAUUCCUGUACUUGGUGUUACUGCGAAGGGGGGACGGAGAAGGCUAUGUUGGCCGGGCGACGGUUGUCCCGGUUUAAGCGUGUAGGCUGGUUUUCCAGGCAAAUCCGGAAAAUCAAGGCCGAGGCGUGAUGACGAGGCACUACGGUGCUGAAGCAACAAAUGCCCUGCUUCCAGGAAAAGCCUCUAAGCAUCAGGUAACAUCAAAUCGUACCCCAAACCGACACAGGUGGUCAGGUAGAGAAUACCAAGGCGCUUGAGAGAACUCGGGUGAAGGAACUAGGCAAAAUGGUGCCGUAACUUCGGGAGAAGGCACGCUGAUACGUAGGUGAAGCGACUUGCUCGUGGAGCUGAAAUCAGUCGAAGAUACCAGCUGGCUGCAACUGUUUAUUAAAAACACAGCACUGUGCAAACACGAAAGUGGACGUAUACGGUGUGACGCCUGCCCGGUGCCGGAAGGUUAAUUGAUGGGGUUAGCGCAAGCGAAGCUCUUGAUCGAAGCCCCGGUAAACGGCGGCCGUAACUAUAACGGUCCUAAGGUAGCGAAAUUCCUUGUCGGGUAAGUUCCGACCUGCACGAAUGGCGUAAUGAUGGCCAGGCUGUCUCCACCCGAGACUCAGUGAAAUUGAACUCGCUGUGAAGAUGCAGUGUACCCGCGGCAAGACGGAAAGACCCCGUGAACCUUUACUAUAGCUUGACACUGAACAUUGAGCCUUGAUGUGUAGGAUAGGUGGGAGGCUUUGAAGUGUGGACGCCAGUCUGCAUGGAGCCGACCUUGAAAUACCACCCUUUAAUGUUUGAUGUUCUAACGUGGACCCGUGAUCCGGGUUGCGGACAGUGUCUGGUGGGUAGUUUGACUGGGGCGGUCUCCUCCUAAAGAGUAACGGAGGAGCACGAAGGUUGGCUAAUCCUGGUCGGACAUCAGGAGGUUAGUGCAAUGGCAUAAGCCAGCUUGACUGCGAGCGUGACGGCGCGAGCAGGUGCGAAAGCAGGUCAUAGUGAUCCGGUGGUUCUGAAUGGAAGGGCCAUCGCUCAACGGAUAAAAGGUACUCCGGGGAUAACAGGCUGAUACCGCCCAAGAGUUCAUAUCGACGGCGGUGUUUGGCACCUCGAUGUCGGCUCAUCACAUCCUGGGGCUGAAGUAGGUCCCAAGGGUAUGGCUGUUCGCCAUUUAAAGUGGUACGCGAGCUGGGUUUAGAACGUCGUGAGACAGUUCGGUCCCUAUCUGCCGUGGGCGCUGGAGAACUGAGGGGGGCUGCUCCUAGUACGAGAGGACCGGAGUGGACGCAUCACUGGUGUUCGGGUUGUCAUGCCAAUGGCACUGCCCGGUAGCUAAAUGCGGAAGAGAUAAGUGCUGAAAGCAUCUAAGCACGAAACUUGCCCCGAGAUGAGUUCUCCCUGACCCUUUAAGGGUCCUGAAGGAACGUUGAAGACGACGACGUUGAUAGGCCGGGUGUGUAAGCGCAGCGAUGCGUUGAGCUAACCGGUACUAAUGAACCGUGAGGCUUAACCUU
rnacentral:rRNA from 1 species